rnacentral:rRNA from 1 species
CUUUACUGCAACUUGGCAGUGGUUUUCGGGACAUUCUGCGUAGGAUAGGUGGGAGGCUUUGAAGUCGGGGUUCCGGCCUCGGCAGAGCCAACGUUGAAAUACCACCCUGGAUGUUCUGGAAACCUAACCUAGGCCCCUCACGGGGUCGGGGACACUGCCUGGUGGGCAGUUUGACUGGGGCGGUCGCCUCCUAAAAAGUAACGGAGGCGUGCGAAGGUUCCCUCAGGCUGAUUGGAAACCAGCCGUAGAGUGCAAACGCACAAGGGAGCUUAACUGCGAGACCGACAGGUCGAGCAGGUGCGAAAGCAGGCGUUAGUGAUCCUGUGGUUCUGUAUGGAAGGGCCAUAGCUCAUCGGAUAAAAGGUA